rnacentral:rRNA from 1 species
UACGUAGGGUGCGAGCGUUGUCCGGAAUUAUUGGGCGUAAAGGGCUCGUAGGCGGUUUGUCGCGUCGGGAGUGAAAACUCAGGGCUUAACCCUGAGCCUGCUUCCGAUACGGGCAGACUAGAGGUAUGCAGGGGAGAACGGAAUUCCUGGUGUAGCGGUGAAAUGCGCAGAUAUCAGGAGGAACACCGGUGGCGAAGGCGGUUCUUUGGGCAUUACCUGACGCUGAGGAGCGAAAGUGUGGGGAGCGAACAGG